rnacentral:rRNA from 1 species
AUUGAACGCUGGCGGAAUGCUUUACACAUGCAAGUCGAACGGCAGCACGGGGCAACCUGGUGGCGAGUGGCGAACGGGUGAGUAAUACAUCGGAACGUGCCCAAUCGUGGGGGGAUAACGUAGCGAAAGUUACGCUAAUACCGCAUACGAUCUACGGAUGAAAGCGGGGGAUCGCAAGACCUCGCGCGAAUGGAGCGGCCGAUGUCAGAUUAGGUAGUUGGUGGGGUGAAGGCUCACCAAGCCGACGAUCUGUAGCUGGUCUGAGAGGACGACCAGCCACACUGGGACUGAGACACGGCCCAGACUCCUACGGGAGGCAGCAGUGGGGAAUUUUGGACAAUGGGCGCAAGCCUGAUCCAGCCAUUCCGCGUGCAGGAUGAAGGCCUUCGGGUUGUAAC